GGGCCCGCACAAGCGGUGGAGUAUGUGGUUUAAUUCGAUGCAACGCGAAGAACCUUACCAGGGCUUAAAUGUAGUGGGACAGGUCUAGAGAUAGACCCUUCUUCGGACUCAUUACAAGGUGCUGCAUGGUUGUCGUCAGCUCGUGCCGUGAGGUGUCAGGUUAAGUCCUAUAACGAGCGCAACCCCUAUCGUUAGUUGCCAGCGGGUAAUGCCGGGAACUCUAGCGAAACUGCCGGUGCAAACCGUGAGGAAGGUGGGGAUGACGUCAAAUCAUCACGGCCCUUACGUCCUGGGCUACACACGUGCUACAAUGGUCGGUACAGAGAGCAGCCACUACGCGAGUAGGAGCGAAUCUUCAAAACCGAUCUCAGUUCGGAUCGCAGUCUGCAACUCGACUGCGUGAAGCUGGAAUCGCUAGUAA
rnacentral:rRNA from 1 species